UUUCUUUAAAUAAACGAAUUCUGAAGAGUUUACAUGCGCCAAUUUUUGACUAAUUGGUAUUUUAUGUAUUUUGUUGGGACAACCGUCCGGGUUCACCAAGUACACUUGGUUUAUGUGCAUGUGGGAUAGUAGGGACAAAGUUCAACAUUACACGAAGAAGGACUGGCUUGUACAGGAGGAAUUGGUGCCUUGUAGAGCAAGGAACUUCAUAAACAACCCUCUGGUGGACAGAGACGUGAUACUCUUCCCAUCACUGCACAUCAAGCUCAGCUUGAUCAAACAGUUCACCAACGCUCUGGACAAGGAUGGUGGUUUCUUCACUUACUUGUGCCAUGCUUUUCCAGGAUCGACCAUGGAGAAGUUGAAAGCUGGCAUCUUUGGCGGUCCUCAACUCCGUCAGCUUAUCAGAGAUCCAGAGUUUGAAAACUCAGUGAAUGAAGUGGAACUGGAAGCGUGGAAGGCUUUUUGUUCUUGUUGUGAAGAAUUUUAUUGGCAAAAAGAAGGCCAGGAAUUACAGUUUACAUGACUUUGUGACAUUCUGGAGAAAACACAGUCGACUCAUGAAUUGGGAUUUCAUCCUUCCGGGCCCUGACAGUGUGCUAUGAUGAGGCUCUUCUACCUGCCUGCCACUGCUGCCAACAUAUCAGUCAUUGACAGGUGAUGAUAGUCACAACAGACACAUGGAUUGUCCCAGUGAUGAGGAAGACCAGAGGCUGCUUUGCCAUGACCAGUACCAUCACCACAGAGAUCCUGCCAGCACCACCACCAAGGCGCAGUACUCGAUGGAUCCUGUCUGGUGUAGCAUCCCUCCAACAAGCUGUACUCCCACUCAGUCAUUGAAGCUCCAACAUCCCACCUGUACUUGCCUGGAUGUGUUUGUAAACUCUGAAAAAGUACAAAUUAAAUUCCUUAUUUCUCUAUAAUAGUAAGUUGACAAAGUAAUGAUUGGUGUUCCACAGGAUUGCUUGAGAAGAAGUAACUAUGCGGAGUAAAAUAGGAGGAAGGAAACGCUGUAUUAAGGUGAAUAGUUGCACUUUCACUAGACACCCCAUUUGCUGCUCAGGAGUCAGGCUAUACCCCUUUGUCCAUAUCCCAGCAGCAGACAGUAAGGUGUUACAUUUACUUUCCUUCCUGGCCGCGCACUCCUUGGUGGCGGCAUGGUACAUAUUAUCUGCAGUCCUUUUGUUGUUCAAAGUUUGUGGUUUGUAUAAUGCCUCCUUGACUUUUCUCUCUUUUUUCCUCAGGCCACUCUCCAGCACCAUUGCAUCAUCCCACUUUGGCAAAUGGCCACUAUCCUCCACCCGCGCACUGGUUUGGUAGUGGUGCCUUACGUCUGCACUUGCACCCGACAUACAGUAUUUAGUAUACAACACUUCUUUAUUCUCUGUCUCUACUUUUCCACACCAGUUCAUAACUUCUCCCCCCAUACCUAUGUGACUUAAGGCAUUCCCUAGAGGCUGUGUCAAGUCAGACUUGGGGACACUUUGGUAUUUCCAUUUGUUUUUUCCCUUUCCAUGUCUUUCUUUUUAAUGGUCACCUUUGUCCCCUCUCAUAUCUCAACCAGGGGGCCCUUGAGGUACCCCAGUCUGGAGAUCAUGCUCUCAUUGUGGGAAUUUCCAUUCAGUCACUCCACAUACAGAAAACUCAUAUAUUGAACCCAAUCAUCACACCCUUUUUGGUUCUCAAAUCGUGGGCACUAAGGAAUUGGAUGUAAUUGGCCUUGUUGGUCAGUUAUCUGUGCACUUAAUAGGAGGCACAGUUUCCAAUGAUUGUCAGUGCCAAGGUAUGGAAGGUGACCAUUUAUUUCCUCCUACGUACAGAUUUUUGUGUGCACUGUUUAUUUCACUAUAUCUGUUUUGUGGUCAGUGAUGACCUGCACAUUGUGUACAUAUAGAAACCAUUUAGUUGUUCUCGUUAACAGUUGCUAGUAGUGUUCACUCUUCAGGACUUCCAUGAACAGGAAAGUCAUCACUGCACUUAAAAUUGACGCAAGAUUAGUGCCAGUGUGCAUGGGUUUGGGCCGUUUCACUUAACAGUGAGGAAUAUCACCAGCAAGAGGGCCUCGUGAUGGGGUCACCAUAAAGUGCAGUGAUAGCUUUCCAGGUCAUGGAAAUUUUGGAAAGUGAGCGCUACUCACAACUGUCAAUAAGAACAACAAAAUGGUUCCAAUACAUACACGAUGUGCUGGUCAUCACCAACAAUGAAAGAUAUGGUAGGCUAAAUGAGAGAAUAAAACAAGUGCACCCAAAAAUCCAGUACUCAGUGGAGGAGGAAACCAAUGGCCAGCUUCUAUUCCUUGACGCUCAUAAGAUCAGGAAACACUGCCUCUCAUUAAGUGCACAAAAAAACAACCAACAAGGCCAACUACAUCCAUUACCUCAACACUCCCGAUUCGAGAACCAAAAGGGAAAAUUGCCACAUCGAGGACACAUUUUCCUAACUGGGGCACCCCAAGGAUCUCCUGGAUGAGUUACAAGAGAGGGCAAAGGUGAUUAUGAAAAAGAUACGGAAAGGGAGAAAGACAUAACUGAAAUACCGGUUUGUCCCCGCAUCUGACUUGGCACACAGGCUAUCAAAUAGUUGGUGUGGGGGGCGAGUUGUGAUUUGGUGUAGAAAAGUAGAGACGAAGAAUAAGGAUAAGGACAGUGUUGUAUACCAAAUACUGUGCAGCAGGUGUGAGUGCAACUAUUCAGUGAGACCAGCAGGGCCUGAAUGUUGUUAGGCUUAUGGAGCACAGUGUGGGCAUAAGGCACCACGCCAAACCAUAUUGACGAUGAUGGCCACUUGCCAAAGUGAAAUGGUGCUAAGGUGCUGGAGAGUGGUCUGUGCAGAAGAGAGAGAAAAGUCAAGGGGACAUAUACAUUGCCCAAACUCCAACAUCAACAAAAGGACUGGAGAUUCAACAUAGGCUAUGUCGGCUGCCAAUGUGUGCACAGCCGUUGUCGUGAGAGCAACAUUAACUGGAAAGAAAGUGAUAGUAACGCUUCCAUUUUGGAGUAACCUUGCCUCUGAGCAGUAAUUGGGGUGUCUCAUUUGACCUGUGUAGAAGAAGCAAAAACAAAACUAGUUGGGUAACAUUAAUACAGUGUUUUCUUCACCCAACAUGUCCACAAAAUCCUAAUAAUGACUGCUGUCGACUCACAAGCAUGGAUGUGGCACAUUGCAACUCUUGCUUUCUUUUUUUUUCCAAUAAUAUAUGGGAAUGUUUGUAUACAUAAACUCGCACUUUCUUAUACUAUCUCGAAAUUACCAAGUUGCAUCGAUAACGUACCAUACAAGCACAUCAAAGAAAGAGUUUAUAUGAAACAGCAUGUCAGAUCAUACACAAAGAGUGGCCAUUUAAAUAACUCAAGCUACAUAGACAUUGCCUCUUUAAAGGCAAAUAAAAGUAGUUUCAAUUAUUUAUUGCAUGUAAAUCAUAGAAAAUUAUCAAAACAUUCGAAUCACAUUCAAUGAUAUUUCAUGCUACUUCAUAUAUCACCCAUGUGAUAUACAUGCAAAAUUGUUGAAAUAACUUUUUUUUUGCUCUUACAGAGCCAGAUGUUCAUAUGCACCUGAAAUGAGAUUAUUCAUGAAGUACAAUGUGCAUGUGCCACAUCCCUCAAAAUUCAUGCUUUGUGGAUGGACAGAUGAAACAAAACUGAUCAUACUUAAAGUAAGCUGUGAACUCUACUUGCCAUAUGUUUGGAAGACUUCUAAUACACUUUAGGGACACUACAAUUUGUUUACUUUAAAUACUGGAUGCUCACAGUUCCUUGGGAUAUAAUUGAUAUUAAUGAAUAAAAUUAAAAUUGACAUAACUUCAAGAAGUGUUUAAUGUAUAAUUCUAUAUUCUACUGACAGCUGCCUAAAAAAAAUAUUUGCAUAUUUUAAGUGAGCAAUUAUUGUGUUGGGAGUGUUAUCAAAUGAGACCACUCACACCAGGAUAUAGGAUGAGAGGGAGAAGGCAAGUGGAGGGGAGAGAACAAUGUAGAGGAGAGCUCAGAGAAGGGAGGAAUGGGGUGUGGUUUAGCAUUAACCUAAACUUGUAAAUCCUGCAGCGAAAUGGUGAGAAAAUAACAUUAUAGAAAAUG